GAGCAGUCGAAGAUGGCGGGCCUUGAUUAACUGAAGUCCCAGCAGUUCCUUGUGCUUGACCAAAUAUGGUUCCACACUUAUUAAUUAAGUUCUGAAAGCAGCAACUGAAACACUUGCAUAAAGUAUGAUUCUGAUCAUUCGAGGCAGCAUUCCCUCCAACAUCAACAUCCCGAACAGUGAAACAGGAACAAACUGAACCCAUGAUGUUACCUCUAUUUGUUAUAUAAAUCUUCAACCUUUCAUUAGCAAUCCCCUUCUCAAUCCAGCAUCCAGAUUUCCCUUUACAGCAGAAAAUAAGGGUUUUGGAGCAAAAAAUUAUUGAGAA
rnacentral:misc_RNA from 1 species